CGCCUCUUGCAAGUUAACGAAUAAGAGGUCCUGCCUGCCCGGUGACCAUGAGUUCAACGGCCGCGGUAUUUUGACCGUGCAAAGGUAGCGCAAUCACUUGUCUUUUAAAUGAAGACCCGUAUGAAUGGCAAGACGAGGGCUUGACUGUCUCCUUUUUCAAGUCAAUGAAAUUGAUCUUCCCGUGCAGAAGCGGGAAUUAUCACAUAAGACGAGAAGACCCUAUGAAGCUUUAGACACUAAGGCAGAUCACGUUAAAACUUCCUAACAAAGAACUAAACUAAAUGAUUCCUGUCCUGAUGUCUUUGGUUGGGGCGACCACGGGGAAGCACAAAACCCCCGCGUGGACUGAGAGUACACCCCUCCACCCCUACUCUCACAACUAAGAGCCUCCGCUCUAAUUAACAGAAUUUCUGACCAAAAAUGAUCCGGCAGUGCCGAUCAACGAACCGAGUUACUCUAGGGAUAACAGCGCAAUCCUCUUUUAGAGCCCAUAUCGACAAGAGGGUUUACGACCUCGAUGUUGGAUCAGGACAUCCUAAUGGUGCAGCCGCUAUUAAGGGUUCGUUUGUUCAACGAUUAAAGUCCU
rnacentral:rRNA from 1 species